GCCGGGGUAGCUCAGUGGUAGAGCACUGGAUUGAAAAUCCAGGUGUCGGCAGUUCAAUCCUGCCCCCCGGCACCA
rnacentral:tRNA from 1 species